CCUAAUUCUUUUGAUUUUGGAGAAAUAAAAGUGAGAAAAUUUUUUAUACAUGUUAGUGAAAGCAUAUAAGUGAAUAAAUCUUGAAAUAUAUCAAUUCUUAUCAGGAUUAAUAAAAUAAAAUCUUAUUAAACCUAAGACGAGUAGUAUCAGAACCACGUUUUAACUGAAACAAAGAAAAAUCUAAGACAGCAGUAAAGAAUACUAUACAAUUAAUGUAAAUUAGAUAUGGAAAUUUUCUUAAACUUUGUCUAAUUAAGUGCCAGCAGACGCGGUUAUACUUAAGAAGUAAAUUUUUAUGAUAAAAUAGGUAACAAUAUGUGUAGAAUAAUAAAAUAUGUAUUAUAAAUGUUUUUGAAUUGGUUAAAUAAACAAAAAUUAGAAACCCAAAAAAGAAGUUAUAAUACUUAAAAAUUUGAAACAUGAGAAAAAGGACAUUAAAUAGGAUUAGAUACCCUAGUAAACCUUUUUGUAAAUUAAGAAACUUUCUACCUGAAUAGUAUACUUUUAAGAGUGAAAAUCAAAAAUUUUGGCUGUUUAUUUUCUAAUUAGAGGAGUAUGUGAUUUAAUUCGAUAAUCCGCGAAAUACCUUACCUACUUUAGAUUAUCAGGUGCUGCAUGGUCGUCGUCAAUUUAAUUAUAUAAUUUAAAUUUAACCCAAGCUAGGAUAAAGUCAGAUAGUAUGGCCCUUAUAAGUAGGGAUAUCAUGUACUACAAUAUUUAAAUUAAUCUAAUUUUAAAAAUAGAACAUUAAUGUAAUUUAAUGUGAAAGAGAAUUUAAUAGUAAUUGAAAAAAUAAUGUUUCAAUGAAUUAGUUCAAAUAUGAGUACAAAUUGCCCGUCGCCUUUAUUGAUAAUUAAUUUUAAAAAUAGAGCAAGUCGUAACAUAGUGGGGGAAAGGGAACUUUUCCCUGCAGAAAUUUAA
rnacentral:rRNA from 1 species